UGGACACUAGUGCAUCACGCUAAGGUUUUGAUUUUCUACUUAUUAAAAAAAAUGGAUGGUGGAAGAUUGUUGAGAAUGGCUUACCCAGUUUAUUUCAUACCACUCCUUGAAAACAGCUCUGUGAUGUAUCCAUCUGUCGAUAUCUAAACUUGAUGAUUACUCCAUGCAUGACAGUGGGAGGACCACACCAGUCUCCGUGACAAUCUACUAUGGAUCACAGAAUGUGUCACACUGCCCCAGUUCUUGGGAGAAGUUUAAGGGGUGGGCUAUGAUGACUUACCGGUGCCGGUCAUUGCUUGCGGACAUAAAAGGAACCUCACCUCCCUGGGAUAUAGUGCUAAAAGUACAUGUGUACAUCCAGUGUGGCCAGAAGUGUUUGUCACGUUCCUGCUGAAUAGCACCGCUGUACUGUCAAACAUGCAAUCCACCUUGCCCAGUUACCGUUGGAUUGGACUGUAUUUGCUGGCAACUUUCCUGUUGACCUGCUCAUUUGAGCGGUCAGUUGCUGCAAAGCAGUUAAUGAAGAGAAGUUCUCCAACAGACAUCAGGGUUGUCAAACGAACGUCAGUGAUGUGUUGUAAAAAAACAAGUCCAGCACGCUUCAGGACGGAGAUCACCAGUUGCAUCAUUCAAAGCAAAUCAGACGUUUGUUUAGCUGCCGUCGUAUUCAGCACGAAUGGGAGAAUGUACUGCAGUUCUCCUCAUGCAAGUUGGGUGAAGUAUAAGGUGCAAGAGUUGGCACAGAAAGGCAGGCCGUGUUUGGACAGAUGAUCAUGUAGGGAAGAGCUCGAAGUGGAAAGGCCAAGAUCCUACAGUAUAUUCUUUGAAGAUAUCACCUUCACUGCUAUGAAGUUUCUUUAGAUUUUCUGUAUGAAUGAUGAUAUUAUGUUACUUUGUUGUUCUUUGGUAAAAAGUGAUUUUUCUUAAAGCAUAUGAUAAAAGCCUUUGCACAAAGAGCAUUUGACUGUACCUAACAAAUGCACUCAGAGUAUCCUUAAUGUUUUUAAGAUAAAGUUUGUGAAUAUGGGUGAUUCUAACAAUAAAUUAAACAUAUGAAUUAAUCA
rnacentral:lncRNA from 1 species